UUAAUUAAUUUUAUUAUUGUGUUUUUUUUUGUUUAUUAUUAUUUAAUAAAAAUAAUUUUUUAAUAUUAUUGUCUAAGUAUAUUUUAUAGAAUAGAUUUUUUUUAUUAUAGUGAACUAGUAAUGUAAUUGGAUUAUGAAAUAAUUAUUUUAAAUUUAUUAAAGUAAAUUUAAUUUAUUGUACCUUUUGUAUCAGGGUUAAUCAAAAUUUUAGUAUUAAUUUAUUAUUCUCAAUUUAGGUUGAUUUAAAUAAAAAUUAUAAUUAAUGUUAUAUAAUUAUUAUUAAUUUUUAUUUAGAAAUGAUAUGUUAUUCGUUUCCUAAGGUAUUUAGUUUCUUAAGAAAAAAUUUAAUUUUUUAUGUUAAAUGUUUUAUUUAAUUUUAUAAUUAAUAAUAUUUGACUAUUAAUUAUUUAGGGGAUAAGCUCUAAAUUUAUAAUUCUAUAAUUUUGUUGUUAAGAAUCAAUUUAUAAGCUUUAAACCAGCUAUUUUUAAGAUUACGUUUUAGUUCAUUAUUUUAUUUUUUGAUUUUUUAAUAUUUUUAGAUUUUUUAUUAAGAUGGUAAAUUUAAUUUUUAAAUUUUUACAAUAAUGGUUAAAUUAGUAUAAUUAUUUGUUUAUAAUUUUUUUUCUUGUUAUUUUAUUAAAAGGAAUUAGGCAAAAUUGAUUUUCGCCUGUUUAUCAAAAACAUGUCUUCUUGAUAUAUAUUUUGAAGUCUGACCUGCUCACUGAUGAAUUUUAAAGAGCCGCGGUAAUUUGACCGUGCAAAGGUAGCAUAAUCAUUAGUUUUUUAAUUGGAGGCUGGAAUGAAUGGUUUGACGAAAAAUCAACUGUCUCUUAUUAAUUUUUUGAAUUUAACUUUUGAGUUAAAAGGCUUAAAUUCAUCUUUAGGACGAGAAGACCCUAUAGAGCUUAACAGAUUAAAGUAUUAUUUAUUUUAGUAUAUUUUUUAAAUGAUUUUUUUAUUUUGUUUGGUUGGGGUGACAUGAAGAAUAAAUAAACUCUUCAUUAUUAAAUCAUUGAUUUAUGUUUAUAUGAUCCAUAAAUUAUGAUCAUAAGAUUAAGUUACCUUAGGGAUAACAGCGUAAUUGUUUUUAAGAGCUCUUAUCAACAAAACAGAUUGCGACCUCGAUGUUGGAUUAAGAUUAUUUUUGGGUGCAGUAGCUCAAUAAUUAGGUCUGUUCGACCUUUAAUUUCUUACAUGAUCUGAGUUCAGACCGGCGUAAGCCAGGUCGGUUUCUAUCCUGAGAUAAUAAAUUCAUAUUAGUACGAAAGGACCAUAUGGAUAAAAGAUUUUUUUUGUUUAGAUUGAAUUUAAUUU
rnacentral:rRNA from 1 species